rnacentral:lncRNA from 1 species
AUUUGUCGUUAGUUUAAAAUUUUAUUUUUAAUAUUAUUUUUGAAUUUAAAUUUAAAAUUUUGAAUUUUAUUUUUAGGGACUAAAAUAAAAAAUGUGCAAAGUUUAGGGACCUAAAAUGACAUACAAAAGAAUGCCAAAUAGACGUUGACGCGGCGAUUCCGUUAAUUUUAACCCUUUUUUUAACGGUUUGGGACGUAAUUGUAAUAAAAUCAAGAAAUGAAGGACUCAAUUGCAAAAAAAAAGGUUGGGGACUCAAGUAAAAAUUGGUGCGAAGGUUGGGUAUCCUCAUAUUAAUGAAUUGGAAUAAUCAUAAUAUGUCUAAUCUCUUUCUUUCUCUCUACCCGCCGACUAGUUGGUAUUAUUAUUUUUUACACUAUAGCCUCAAAUCCCUCUUUAAACUUAGAUUUUUCCCUCUAACUCUCUAAACUAAGCUCACUCUUCCUCUUUUUUUCUAAAAUCUCAACUAUCUCACUCCCUCUAAACUCGACUCUAUUUCUCUUUCUAUUUCUUUAAGUAUGCUCUCUCUUUUUCUAACCUAUAUUCCUUUUUUUCUAAAAGGAUGUUGAAAUUUUUGGUACCAUUAUCUAAAAUUAAUUAAAGAAAUAAAUAAAUUGAUUAUAUAUUUUUUGUAAUCUUAAAUAGUAUAAUUAAAUAAUAUAAUCGUACGAACAUUCUUAGUAAUAGGAUGAUAGAAAUAAAAUUCUCGGACAUAUUUUUAUUUCUAGUAAUUUUUUAUAGUGCGAACUAGACGCACUCUAACUUUUAUAAGUUAGACCAC